rnacentral:tRNA from 3 species
GGGGGAUUAGCUCAGCUGGGAGAGCGCUUGCAUGGCAUGCAAGAGGUCAUCGGUUCGAUCCCGUUAUCCUCCA